UACGGAGGGGGCUAGCGUUGCUCGGAAUCACUGGGCGUAAAGCGCACGUAGGCGGCUUUUUAAGUCAGAGGUGAAAUCCUGGAGCUCAACUCCAGAACUGCCUUUGAUACUGAGAAGCUUGAGUCCGGGAGAGGUGAGUGGAACUGCGAGUGUAGAGGUGAAAUUCGUAGAUAUUCGCAAGAACACCAGUGGCGAAGGCGGCUCACUGGCCCGGUACUGACGCUGAGGUGCGAAAGCGUGGGGAGCAAACAGG
rnacentral:rRNA from 1 species